AAUCAACGCUGGCGGCGUGCCUAACACAUGCAAGUCGAACGCGAAAGGGGCUUCGGCCCUGAGUAGAGUGGCAAACGGGUGAGUAACACGUGGGUGACCUGCCUUCGAGUGGGGGAUAACGUCCCGAAAGGGACGCUAAUACCGCAUAACAUCCUGCCUUUGGAGAGGCGGAGAUCAAAGCCGGGGAUCGCAAGACCUGGCACUUGAAGAGGGGCCCGCGCCUGAUUAGCUAGUUGGUGGGGUAAUGGCCUACCAAGGCGACGAUCAGUAUCCGGCCUGAGAGGGCGACGGACACACUGGGACUGAGACACGGCCCAGACACCUACGGGAGGCUG
rnacentral:rRNA from 1 species